GAGAAUCAUUUUUUGGUUUUCAGCAUAGUCAAAGACAUUCAUCAUAAUGUAAAGCACCUUGCUCCAACCCCAUGACCCAUUUCAGUAGCAAUUAAAUAUAAAGUUUUUUUAAUUAUUAAGCCUCCUCAAAUAUAUUUUUCCUAAUGAAUUAUGGCCGAAACUGAACUAAUGAUAUCUUAUCAUCAAAUUGAUGCUUUGUAUCAUAAAAACAACUUUCGUGCUGUUAUACAUGAGCUUUAUUUUAUUCAUCAAGAAGGCACAGAUGUUCUUCUUGGUUGUGGCCUUUAAUACACGUUCAUUCCAACGUGUCACGUGAGCGGUAGGGCACAGAGGAAUUUUAAACAAGCAUCCCCAAAGUCAGACGUGAUAUAACAAUUACGUAUUACACGUCCGGUUGUUUACAAAAUAAAAUAACACUGAGUUCCGUCUGCAUUAAGCACUUGAGGGGUGUUCUCUUAAUAACGUGUACAAAUGCGAGGAAUAAUGAAAACACCCAAAACCUGUUGAAAAACAGGUCAUUUAAAAUGGUUCGUUUGUCUUUGAAAGUGAUAAACAACUUUCAUUUUGAAAGUUUAACUCGCUGCUGUUUUGAAUAGUCCUGUCGAGGCCAUGACGUGUUGAUGAUUUAACAUGCAGCUGCUGUUGCAUUUAAACCAACACACAAAGGAAAAAUUCGCACAUGAAUCAUAUGGGGAAAAAUAUCAUUUAAUUUAAAAGACAAGUUUAACUUGAAGUGCCGUCAUCAGGGUGGCUCUACACGAUCAAUCCCUCUGAUAAGCCUUUUUUUAAAGUGCAUUUACAAAAGAAAUGGUUUAGUUAUGAUAAUGCUCAGUUUUCUUUUGCAAAAUUGCUUUACCUCGUGGCCCCUUUCCUGAUGAAAGUGGUACACUGCCAAUCAUAAGGUCAUUGAUUUCCUCUAUUUUUGCAUGAGCCUGUGUGUGUGGGGGCUUGUGUCUGUGUUUGUGUGUGCGUGGAAGGUGGAAGUUGUUCCGUGCGUCACUCCCUUCCUUCACUUGUCUCUGUAACAAAGCAGGAGCCGCAGCCCAACGGAAAGACUCUCACAUCACUGGGCAGGAAAAGAGAAACAGGGACGAGCAGUUUUCUCAUCCAACGCAUGCAUACUAAGACGAAACAGCCUCGGGAAACAAGCAACGACUCGAUCUGUUCAGAGGAGGUAAAACCGGCUUGUGAUGUCAGACACGUGUUCCCGUCUCCUCGGAGCCAUCGGCUGCCUCUGCCUUCUUCAUCCCGGUCUCUGGGCAGAAGAAUGCACCCAGGGUGUUCUGGCAGAACGCGAGACCGUCUUCGUCCCAGCGGGAAACAGUCUGUCUCUGUCCUGUGUGGUCCAGCACUGUGGGGGCACCUGGACGGGAAACUGGACGAAGAGGGAUUCAAUGGCCGACAACUUAACCGCGAGGCAUCAUCUGACCAAUGUGUCGCUCUCUGACACUCAAACUCGGCUGAAUUUCCUGAGUGUCGGCGUGCAGCGUUAAAUGGGCUCGAGGUGACACGGAGGAAGGAAACACGAAGUAUGUUAACGUUACUGCAGCCGUCCCUUCUACGAGGAGCGCCCUGCACAGGGUUUUGGUCUGUGCCGGCGUUUGUCUUUGUCUUCCCAUCAUCCUGUGUUUGGUUCAUGGUCUGAGUUCAGAGGUCAAGCCCCAGCCACUUCCCAGGACUCUUUCCAUUUACAGAGAGCAACAGCAGCCGGCUCCACGGCCCCCACCUCGAUGCCCCGUACCUCAGAAGCCUAGCACUCGCUCUGACAAAGCCGUCCCCGAGUCCAUCCAGAAGAAGGAGGUGGUGUAUGGGAACAUUUCCCAGCAUGCACUGGGUCAACCGGGAGCGUCCGGAGAGCCCGAACCGACCGCCGCCUACUCCUUCCUAGUCUCCUGACCAUUUGAAGCAGGGAGAUUGUGCUUGAUUCUGAACUCCCGUGGGAGAUGUCGACUUUUGGAAUCUCUCGGAGUUCUUCACAUGCGGGACUGCCUCUCUGAGACAUUCUGAUGAAUUUGUCCCUAUCAGGAGGCAAGAGUUAACCCACUUCUGAAGAAACCCACCCUCAACCCAUCUGAAGAACACAACUAUCUCCACCGUAACAACCACCAUGACUCCCACCAGCCAGGCUUCAAGGGAGGCCAUUCGACAGAGACUGCUCUCCUUGCUGUCUCAGAGCAACUCCACACUGCUAGAGCUGCCUCUCUCUCCUACGUCCUCAUCCUUCUGGACCUCUCCGCUGC